UAAGUCUUGUUAUGCAUCAACAAGAGCUCAACAUCUGAAACGUUACGGACUAGGAAAGCCUUCAAUCCAUUAGGCAUGCAGUAUCUGGUCUUCUUGUUAUUUCCAUAACCAAUCUUGGGCAUGGAAAUGGUGCCACGGAAACGACGACGAACACAACUAUCAAUACCUCUGGGCUUUCUCCAUGAUUCUCCAACACGCUUGAAGCGGUCAGACUGAUGGCGCUUGAAGGGCUUGGUGCGCUUCUUGAUGAUAUUGACAGCAGCCAUUUCUGUUGUGUGGGUGGAAAAGUUAGCACUUGUGUUGUGAGUGUGUUUUGGAACGAACGUGACUGCUUUUUAUGGGGAUGGUAGCUGAGUUUUCAUUUUUUGCGCUAUAGUUCCCAGAUUUGACAUGUUGAAAAAGAAGUUAAUAAUAUCUCUAUUUAAAUGAUCAAUAACAUUAUAAAACUAAUCAUUCUUCAUUUUCAUUUCUGUAAUAUCCCGUAUUUAGCUUUGCAUAUCAAACUGAUUGC